CAAGGAAAUGCCAGGAAGUGAGUGAGAGGGUGAAACAGAGAAGGGGAGAAGCCAGUCAGGGACUCACUGGGUCAAGUAAUUACCACUGUGGGUACCAGAGCUUAACCCUGCUGCACAGCUUUGGGAUGCAGUCUAGAACCCACACCUUGAAGCUACCAAACCCCAAGGGUGAGAGAGCGGGGGUAUUUAUGUUCCAGGGUGAGGGAGCGGGGGUAUUCGUGUUCCAGGGUGAGGGAGCUGGGGUAUUUAUGUUCCAGGGUGAGGGAGCUGGGGUAUUUAUGUUCCAGGGUGAGGGAGCUGGGGUAUUUAUGUUCCAGGGUGAGGGAGCUGGGGUAUUUAUGUUCCAGGGUGAGAGAGCUGGGGUAUUUAUGUUCCAGGGUGAGAGAGCUGGGGUAUUCAUGUUCCAGGCUGAGGGAGCUGGGGUAUCUAUAUUCCAGGGUGAGGGAGCGGGGGUAUUUAUGUUCCAGGGUGAGGGAGCUGGGGUAUUUAUGUUCCAGGGUGAGGGAGCUGGGGUAUUUAUGUUCCAGGGUGAGGGAGCUGGGGUAUUUAUGUUCCAGGGUGAGGGAGCUGGGGUAUUUGUGUUCCAGGGUGAGGGAGCGGGGGUAUUUGUGUUCCAGGGUGAGGGAGCUGGGGUAUUUAUGUUCCAGGGUGAGGGAGCUGGGGUAUUUAUGUUCCAGGGUGAGGGAGCUGGGGUAUUUAUGUUCCAGCACCCACCGGUCACUGGCUGAGUCUUGUUCCUGUGGUGGUAUUCAUUCCCAGCACAUUUGGCCUGCUCUGUAGGACCCCACUAAAACAGCAUCCUGCACAAAAUAGAACAUAGCAGGCCGGGCGCAGUGGCUCACGCCUGUAAUCCCAGCACUUCGGGAGGCCGAGGAGGGCGGAUCACCUGAGGUCACGAGUUCGAGACUAGCCUGGUCAACAUGAUGAAAUCCUGUCUGUGCUAAAAAUACAAAAUUUAGUCGGGCAUGGUGGCGGGUGCCUAUAAUUCCAGCUACUUGGGAGGCUGAGGCAGGAGAAUUGCUUGAACACAGGAGGUGGAAGUUGCGGUGAGCCGAGAUCAUGCCACUUCACUCCAGCCUGGGUGACAGAGCGAGACUCCAACUCAGAAAAAAAAAAAAAAAAGAAGAAGAACAUAGCACAUAGUGACAUUAGGCAAAAAGUGCUGGAUCAGUAAACUUGAGUUGAUUGGCUAAUAAAUGUUGAUUGAAUGAUUGUACAUAGGUUGGACCACAAGAAACUUAGUACCAAAACCUAAUAUUUAUAUUGUUCUGUAACCAUAAGAGAAAUUAAAUCAUGAUCUAGGGCUUAAAAAAAAAAAACAGAGAGAGAAGGAGAAAAAGAGAAAGAAAAAAAUAGAAACAGUACCAGGAACCAGGAGGAAAUGGGGAAUUUUUAGUGAGGAGGAUGUAGAGAAGAGUCCUACCACGCACUUUUCCCUGUGCAAUGCCUCAUUAAAAGCAGAAAACGCACGUCUCAUUAGUCCCAAGUUACAGACGAGGAUACCGAGGCUCUGAGGGGCUCAGUAGCUUGGGCAGGGCCUUAGGGCCGCCUCACCCCAGCCCAGCUGUGUUCCUCGUGGCCCCAGGAAGCCAGCAGGCACGGAAAGACUGGCCUUCUGGACCACAGAGGACGCCCAGCAGAGCAGGCGCUGUGUUAGGAAAAUAAAUAACCUCUCGCUUGGAAAAGUUUAGGGUUGUACUUGGCAGAUGUGUUUGGAACAAAAUUUGUACUAUCGACUCCGUGGCAAAUGGAAACCUCUCGUGGACACUCUCUGGGCUUCAGAGAUCUGAAAUGUCUAAAUGAGGCCGGACCAAACAUGCUAAAAUUGCCAGAGGAAGCUGAGCUCGGGUGGUGCCUGGGGUGAGAAGACGCUGCCUCUUUUGUCUUGACGCCCAUCUGUGAAAUUGACUCGUUACUUUGAACUGCUUCCUCUCCUCCCAGGGAGGGCUCCAAGGGUGUUGCUCAGGCCUGCGGUUUAAAAAGAAUCUCCCCAAGCGAGGAGGGGCCGAGGGAAAGAGGCUCGGGAACUUCUUGGGCUGUGCUCAAGAGAAU
rnacentral:lncRNA from 1 species